rnacentral:rRNA from 1 species
GCCUAAAGCGUCCGUAGCCGGCUCUGUAAGUUUUCGGUUAAAUCCAUAUGCUCAACAUAUGGGCCGCCGGGAAUACUGCAUAGCUAGGGAGUGGGAGAGGUAGACGGUACUCCGUAGGAAGGGGUAAAAUCCUUUGAUCUAUGGAUGACCACCUGUGGCGAAGGCGGUCUACCAGAACACGUUCGACGGUGAGGGAUGAAAGCUGGGGGAGCAAACCGGAUUAGAUACCCGGGUAGUCCCAGCUGUAAACUAUGCAAACUCAGUGAUGCAUUGGCUUGUGGCCAGUGCAGUGCCGCAGAGAAGUCGUUAAGUUUGCCGCCUGGGAAGUACGUACGCAAGUAUGAAACUUAAAGGAAUUGGCGGGGGAGCACCACAAGGGGUGAAGCCUGCGGUUCAAUUGGAGUCAACGCCAGAAAUCUUACCCGGAGAGACAGCAGGAUGAAGGUCAAGCUGAAGACUUUACCAGACAAGCUGAGAAGUGGUGCAUGGCCGUCGCCAGCUCGUGCCGUGAGGUGUCCUGUUAAGUCAGGUAACGAGCGAGAUCCUUGCCUCUAGUUGCCACCAUUACUCUCAGGAGUAGUGGGGCGAAUUAGCGGGACUGCCGUAGUUAAAUACGGAGGAAGGAGAGGGCCACGGCAGGUCAGUAUGCCCC